rnacentral:tRNA from 1 species
CCGCCCCGGGCGGCCCGCCCGCGCCGCCGCGCCCGCAAGCGGCGCGGCCGCCUCGUGCUGUUCGGCUCGGCGGGUGUGGUCC